GACGAACGCUGGCGGCGUGCCUAAUACAUGCAAGUCGAGCGGACAGAUAAGGAGCUUGCUCCUUUGAAGUUAGCGGCGGACGGGUGAGUAACACGUGGGCAACCUGCCCUGUAGAUUGGGAUAACUCCGGGAAACCGGGGCUAAUACCGAAUAAUACUUUUUAACUCAUGUUAGAAAGUUGAAAGAUGGUUCUGCUAUCACUACAGGAUGGGCCCGCGGCGCAUUAGCUAGUUGGUGAGGUAACGGCUCACCAAGGCAACGAUGCGUAGCCGACCUGAGAGGGUGAUCGGCCGCACUGGGACUGAGACACGGCCCAGACUCCUACGGGAGGCAGCAGUAGGGAAUCUUCCACAAUGGGCGAAAGCCUGAUGGAGCAACGCCGCGUGAGUGAAGAAGGAUUUCGGUUCGUAAAACUCUGUUGUAAGGGAAGAACAAGUAGCGUAGUAACUGGCGCUACCUUGACGG
rnacentral:rRNA from 1 species